UAAUAUUGGAUGAACCAUUAGCUUUGUUCCUCUCCUUGACAUUAAUUUAUAAUUCAGAUAUUAAUGCUUGCUUUCCCCUCUAUAUGGAACUUCAAGUUUGGCUAUUCUGUUACAUUC